rnacentral:piRNA from 1 species
UGAACUGUCAAUGUUGAUUACUAGGGAUAA